AUCAUAAUAUUUAUAUUUUAUUAUUAGCAGCAACAUUCUUUUGAAAGCAGUUGCGGUCUUUUGUUCAAAACAUACAGUCGGAAUUGUUUAUAGUAUGUAUUUUAAUAAGGUCAAUUCAUUUUACAAACGUUUUGGGAUCCAUAUGAGAUUCUAAAUUCUGAUUUAACCAUGCCUUCACAAUGAAUUUCUAAACAAAAAUGUUUCUUUUUAAUAGAGAAAAGGAAUGGUUUCACUUAUUUUAAUGUUAACUUAUAAGGUGUUUAAACCCUUUAGAUUUUUCUUAACCCAGUUACGAUCAUUUUUCAUCCAAGUCUCCUGACGUUCUUAAAUAAACUUCCCCCCCCCCCCC